UACGGGGGGGGCAAGCGUUGUUCGGAAUUACUGGGCGUAAAGGGCUCGUAGGUGGCCAACUAAGUCAGACGUGAAAUCCCUCAGCUUAACUGGGGAACUGCGUCUGAUACUGGAUGGCUUGAGUUUGGGAGAGGGAUGCGGAAUUCCAGGUGUAGCGGUGAAAUGCGUAGAUAUCAGGAGGAACACCGGUGGCGAAGGCGGGUCUCUGGGCAACAACUGACGCUGAGGAGCGAAAGCGUGGGGAGCGAACAGG
rnacentral:rRNA from 1 species